UACGUAGGGUGCAAGCGUUAAUCGGAAUUAUUGGGCGUAAAGCGUGCGCAGGCGGUUCGCUAAGACAGAUGUGAAAUCCCCGGGCUUAACCUGGGAACUGCAUUUGUGACUGGCGGGCUAGAGUAUGGCAGAGGGGGGUAGAAUUCCACGUGUAGCAGUGAAAUGCGUAGAGAUGUGGAGGAAUACCGAUGGCGAAGGCAGCCCCCUGGGCCAAUACUGACGCUCAUGCACGAAAGCGUGGGGAGCAAACAGG
rnacentral:rRNA from 1 species